ACUCUGGAUUUUGCAGCCAGUCUCGCUGCAUUCGGCCUUCAGCGCCUCCACCUGCUCCUCCUCCGGGCUCAGCCUGCUGCUGGUGCACGGCGCCUCCUGCGCAUGCACACAGGUCAGAGCCGCGCACACACCUGCAUACACAUUUGCCCAGGUGACCCGCCUCACCUUACACUCCUGGUAGUUGUCGGCCUCAACGCGAUUCUUCUCCGUCACCUUCUCCCAAUGGCUCCUAAUGUUCGCCAGGAUUUGGUCCAGACUGGUUUCGAUAGGAGCGUCCGGCUCGUCCACCUCACGUCCCUCCAUCUGGUGGUAGAGAGCGCGCACGUCCUGCAGGGAAUGAAGAGCUCAGCUCCUCAACCUCACACUCAGACCUGCAGGUUUCCUCGCUGACGUCUUCAUUCUCUGCUUCCCGAUUGGCUGACCAAAGCUGCUGAUGAAAGUUUGCGUUUUCACUUCUCAAAAACAUUGACCUCCUGUUGCUAAGUGAGGAGAACCCACAGGUAACCGCAGGCUGAUAAUCUACGAAGAGAGUCUAAACGUUUGGGCGGGCAUUUUUGAAUGUGAGUGCGGACCACGUUUUAUGCUGAUAUCCGUGCACAGUUUCAGAGAUGAAGCCCCCCAAUGCAGAAACACACACGAGUAAGGGUGGGCUACCUUUGAGGUCAUCGCUGUGAAGAUGUCAGGAGAUGAAGUGGAGUUGAUGAAGUUUGUGUAAUCCAUCUGUAAAACAAAAGCACAAACAUGUUUAGAUCUGCUCA